rnacentral:tRNA from 1 species
AGGGUAAUAGCUCAGUGGUAGAGGGCAUGCUUAGCAUGCAUUAGGUCCUGGGUUCAAUCCCCAGUAUCUCCA